rnacentral:rRNA from 1 species
CCUACGGGAGGCAGCAGUAGGGAACUUUCCACAAUGGACGAAAGUCUGAUGGAGCAACGCCGCGUGCAGGAUGAAGGCCUUACGGGUCGUAAACUGCUUUUAUCUGUGAAGAUAUAUGACGGUACCCAGAUGAAUAAGGAUCGGCUAACUCCGUGCCAGCAGCCGCGGUCAUACGG